AAAGACAUUGAGUCGAUCAGAUGUUAUCUGCAGCGUCUAGAAUCAAAAUGGGAAAACUGUUGAUUGUUCUGACUCUCCUCGUCUGUCUGGCUGCCCUGUCAGCCGGUUAUUCCCAGCGCUACUGCUAUAAAAGUCGAGAAUGCAGUGUUUGGAAUCCUUGUCACUAUCCAUUCGUCUGUGACUACAGAUUUAACCGCAGUUAUGGUUGCUGCGUGAGGCGUCAUGGUGGGUACGGAUAUUGACGAUAGAUCAUCGGGAAAUCACGAUCAGCUUUAUAGAUUUCGGUCAUAUUCCUGUCGAAUUAAAGGCAUGAAUAUAACUUUAAA